rnacentral:rRNA from 1 species
GCCAGACUCCUACGGGAGGCAGCAGUGGGGGAUAUUGCACAAUGGGGGAAACCCUGAUGCAGCGACGCCGCGUGGGUGAAGAAGCGCCUCGGCGCGUAAAGCCCUGUCAGCAGGGAAGAAAAUGACGGUACCUGAAGAAGAAGCCCCGGCUAACUACGUGCCAGCAGCCGCGGUAAUACGUAGGGGGCAAGCGUUAUCCGGAAUUACUGGGUGUAAAGGGAGCGUAGGCGGGCGAGAAAGUUGAAUGUUAAAUCUACCGGCUUAACUGGUAGCUGCGUUCAAAACUUCUUGUCUUGAGUGAAGUAGAGGCAGGCGGAAUUCCUAGUGUAGCGGUGAAAUGCGUAGAUAUUAGGAGGAACACCGGUGGCGAAGGCGGCCUGCUGGACUGUGACUGACGUUGAGGCCCGAAGGCGUGGGGAGCAAACAGGAUUAGAUACCCGCGUA